GACGAACGCUGGCGGCGUGCUUAACACAUGCAAGUCGAACGGAAAGGCCCUGCUUUUGUGGGGUGCUCGAGUGGCGCGCGGGUGAGUCACACGUGUGUAACCUGCCCCUGACUUUGGGAUAACUUCAGGAAACUGGGGCUAAUACCGGAUAGGAGCUCCUGCUGCAUGGUGGGGGUUGGAAAGUUUCGGCGGUUGGGGAUGGACUCGCGGCUUAUCAGCUUGUUGGUGGGGUAGUGGCUUACCAAGGCUUUGACGGGUAGCCGGCCUGAGAGGGUGACCGGCCACAUUGGGACUGAGAUACGGCCCAGACUCCUACGGGAGGCAGCAGUGGGGAAUAUUGCACAAUGGGCGGAAGCCUGAUGCAGCGACGCCGCGUGCGGGAUGACGGCCUUCGGGUUGUAAACCGCUUUCGCCUGGGACGAAGCGUGAGUGACGGUAAUGGGUAAAGAAGCACCGGCUAACUACGUG
rnacentral:rRNA from 1 species